GACGAACGCUGGCGGCGUGCUUAACACAUGCAAGUCGAGCGGUAAGGCCCUUUCGGGGGUACGACGAGCGGCGAACGGGUGAGUAACACGUGGGUGACCUGCCCUCCAGCUCUGGGAUAAGCCUGGGAAACCGGGUCUAAUACCGGAUAUGACUCCAUGACGCAUGUUGUGGGGUGGAAAGCCUUGUGCGGCUGAGGAUGGGCCCGCGGCCUAUCAGCUUGUUGGUGGGGGAUGGCCUACCAAGGCGACGACGGGUAGCCGGCCUGAGAGGGCGACCGGCCACACUGGGACUGAGACACGGCCCAGACUCCUACGGGAGGGCAGCAGUGGGGAAUCUUGCGCAAUGGGCGAAAGCCUGACGCAGCGACGCCGCGUGAGGGAUGACGGCCU
rnacentral:rRNA from 1 species